rnacentral:rRNA from 1 species
GAUUAACGCUGGCGGCGUGCAUAACACAUGCAAGUCGAACGAUGAAACUUAAAUGAUUUCUUCGGCAUGAACUUAAGUGGAUUAGUGGCGGACGGGUGAGUAACGCGUGAGUAACCUGCCUUACACAAGGGGAUAGCCGUUGGAAACGACGAAUAAUACCCUAUGAAACUAUCACUUCGCAUGAAGCGAUAGUCAAAGUGUUAGCGGUGUAAGAUGGACUUGCGUCUGAUUAGCUAGUUGGAGAGAAAAAAGCCCACCAAGGAAACGAUCAGUAGCCGGAGUGAGAGAGGGUACAGACACAAUGGGACAGGGACAAGGCCCAGACGCCUACGAGAGGGAGCAGUGGGGAAUUAUGCAGAAUGAGGGAAACCCUGAUGCAGCGAGGCCGGGUGAUUUAGAAGGCGGUCGGGUAGUAAAAAUCUUUUGUAUAGGAAGAAAAUGACAGUACUAUACGAAUAAGGUCCGGCUAAUUACGUG